rnacentral:misc_RNA from 1 species
AUGCGAUAAGUAAUGUGAAUUGCAGAAUUCAGUGAAUCAUCGAAUCUUUGAACGCACAUUGCGCCCGGCAGCAAUCUGCCGGGCAUGCCUGUCCGAGCGUCAUUUCUGCCCUCGAGCGCGGUUCGGCCCCUAGCGGGCCGGCCGCCGCCCGGUGUUGGGGCGCUGCGGGCCCUCGUGCCCGCAGGCCCUGAAAUGAAGUGGCGGUCCCGCCGCGGCGCCCCCUGCGUAGUAGUAAAGCACCUCGCAUCGGGUCCCGGCGGAGGCCAGCCGUCGAACCUCUCUUUUGAUGGUUUGACCUCGGAUCAGGUAGGGUUACCCGCUGAACUUAA